CAAAUUGUUCUUGGCUAUUUGUUGAUUAUUUUUCCUGGGGAUUUUCUAAUAUUUUCCUAAAUUACGUAUACAAUUUUACAGUCAUGCUGCAUCAGCAGCAGGCGUACCAGCUGUUGUCCGGGCAUCCGUGUGGGGCAGAGAGUGGACAAAGCUCUGAGGUGGAGUACAUGCAACGGAGUUGACUACAUUAUUUAUACAUUAUCGCAAGAGACGCCAAUGAGGAGGCCAAUGGGUCACAUCUUAGACACACCUACACAAUCGCAGCAGCCCCGCCUGUCGAGGACGCAAAACAAGUGCGUCUUGGAACGUCGAACGGGGUAUCCACAAGCAGUUCUCGCUUCGUUCGGCGAAUGUGGUUCACAGCCGCAGCUCCUGUUGCUGCUCGUGCAACGAUUCGUUGACUCUGUUUGGAUCCCUGUGGAGCUGCCCUGGUUGAUCCCACAGUGGUUGCUGUUACUGUGUUUUUCUGAUAGCCAGGGAAAGGGAACGCCUCUGGUGGGGGGAAAACGUAUGCCAUGUGAUCUAAUCGGCAGCAGUGAAUGUUUCAAUGGAUAAUACCAACAAUACCGGAUAAAUCUUAUCCGAAUAUCAGAGGCUAUACAUCCAAAGGGGGAGUAGAGUAGCGUCGGACACAGGCAAUCAUUUUUGUGUGUAUUUCUGAAACGAAUUCCUUUUAGUGGCCACAUUUGCUAACGGACUAACAGCAAAAACAGAGAUAUCCUUAUGGGGAAAAGCAUGCAGUGAGAUCAAGAGAAAUAUGUGCGUCAGCUUGGCUUUCCAGUUGAGCUGGGAGCAUCGGUGCAGCAGAAAUGAUUGAUUGUUACACUGUUUAAUCAAAUUUAGCUUUCUGGCUGUUUAGCCCAUAGUCUCACCAACGCGGUCUUGUAUGAGCAAUUGCAAUUCCGACUUGGGCGUCUUUUUCCCACUUAAUAUUAAAGGGCUUUACAAUUUAAAUAAAGACUUUAAUAUGAUUUCAACACGACAUCCAAAUAGCUAAUAUAUCUAUGUUAAAUCUAAGAUCUUUAGGAUAAAGUGCGAAACAUGUUUAAUCAUGUCACAAUCCACAUAUUAAUCAAAAAAGUUACUACAAUUAAAAUAGCACCAAGACAAAACCUCGUUUCUCGACUUAAUCACAACGGUACUCGAAACAGUUGCCUUGAUACAAGUGUCAGCUUGACGA